rnacentral:lncRNA from 1 species
UGCAGUGAGCUCUGAUCACCACUGCAUUCCAGCCUGGGUGACAGAGCAAGACCCUGUCUGAAAAAAUGAAAACUGAUGGACAAGAAGAGAAAGAAAUUUCAGAGCUUCCAAGACCAAAAACUUAAAAUAAGUAAAGAAGAGAGUAAAAUUCUUAAAAAAGGCUCAGAAAGAUGGAUUUUUGCAUGAGACGCUUCUGGACAGAGAACCAAAUUGAAAGCCAACAGAUACUGCAAAUGACUGGAAUUUUUGUUUCUGC